GGGAGACGGGAGAGAGCGCUAGCAAGGAGGGAAUGGCGUGCGUGUGUUGGCGUGGGUUGUGGCCACAGCAGCCCGGGUGUGAGUGAACUGUAAAAAGGUUGACCGCUAUUAUAAUAAAGCGACUGAAGUGCAUCGGCGACGGAUUCAGGGGUUUUCUGGAUCUUGAGAUGCUAUCCCAGCUGACUUCAGAAUGCUAGCCCGCCACGGCGAGCCCACCGACAGAGAUAUUGAUGGACAUGACUGCGCCAGAUACCUGCGUGCCAUGGAGAACAACCGAAGCUCACCUGCUGUGUGUUUUUUCUUUCUUCCGCUUCUCUGAGCCAUCUGGGUCGGUUCUGACCAUCUGUGAUCUUUGGCGUGGUCGGGGAGGUAAGAGCAAACAUCUGGGAAGCUGGACUAAUCAUUUUCAUCCAUUUGCAACACCAAAUGUCACUGAGGUCACUCUUGCUUUCCGGAAAAUGAAAAUAUGUGUAUGUGUGAGAAUAACAAACCGUGACAUCACAUUUUUUUUAGUUCGUUAUGGAAAAAAAAACAAAAAUGUGUACUCAACCCUUGUAGAACUGGUCUUGUCAAACAUAAAACCCCACAAACAAUAGAAAUAAUCCACUCAGUUCAAGUAUUUUUAAAGAGGUGACCUUAAAGACGGAAGAUGGUUUCCAAGCCCUGGAUUGUCCUUGGCACUAUCAUCAGUCAUGACUCCCGCUUUGCGAUUCCACUUCUUCGGCUUCACUCGAUCACAGUUUAUCAAAACGAUAUUAAUUUAUUUUUUAUAUUAAUUUCUAUAUUAUUUUUUUAAUUUGAAUACAGCCUACUAUUGCAGAAAAAUGUACAUUUAAGCAAGUUUUAAGUUUUUUUUUGCCUAAAUUAAACAUUUUCAAACAUAAAAAUGAAAUAAAAUACAGAUACACUAAUCCCUCAUUCAUUGUUCUUAACUGGUUUGCAGACCCAACUGUGAUAAGUGAAUUUUGCAAAAUAUAUAUAUUUUUUGUAGAGCAUAGAAAAGUUUUCAACCUUCCAAAAAUUAAUGUUUAAUAUGUGUGUAGCCCUCUAGACAUGAACUAACACCUCAAAAUUCAACUCCACACUCGCCUCACACUCGUUAAGGAUUAUUAUGCCUGUUAGACAUAGACAUGGACUUUCUUUAUUGUCAUUGCACAAUAACACAGCAGUGAAAUUGCCAACGAAAUGUCGUUGCCUGGCUCCUGUGUAAUAAUAAGUAAUAAAUAAUAAAUAAUAAAUAAUAAAUAAUAAAUAAUAAAUAAUAAAUAAUAAAUAAUAAAUAAUAAAGUGGAGAAUAAAUAGAUGCCAUCAAAUAUGAACAACAAUGUACAGCGUAAACAGUAAUUUGUACAAAUAAUUUAAAUUAUUUAGAAUAAAUAACAAUAAUUUAAAGUUGUGUUGUUGUGACAUCAUUCAAACCUGCAAUAAAAGCCUGUUUUUCCUGAAAUCAAUUCUGGUGCUUGUGUGUCUCACUCAACAUUACGGUAACAUUACUGACACCUAGUGACCAGUGUAGAAUACUACAUUCAUCACAACGCCUUUUAAUGAUUUUUCUGAAUGCAAGAUUUGCAUUUUAGUUUGCUUAGUCAUAUUUAUGUUUGAAAUUAUUUAAUUUGUAAUCAAUAAUAGGCCGCAUUUAACCAGGAAACAGCUAAUUUAUUAAUAUUACUUGAAAAAUUUUAAAAAUUCCAAGAGUCUGUACUGUACAGAGUGAACUCGCAACUGAAACCAGGAAAAUGCAACAAAAAGUACAAAUAUUCAAGAGUCCAACUUUAUGUUGAGUAGGACAAAUAUGUACAUGUUGGCAGGGCUGCAUUAACACUGAAAGUAUUCCCUUUCUCUCACGCCACCCCUGACAUUCACUGUGUCCACCCAGGGGGGGACCCGCCCCACUAUUUGAGACACACAAGCACCAGUCUUGACUGCUGGAAAAACAGGCUUUUAUUGUGGGUUUAUGACGGCUUACAGUAAUAAAACAAUGAUUUGCAUUGCUUCAAUGAAAUGUAAAAAGAAGUGAAGCAGUGUUAGUGGUAUAAAGAGUGACUGGAGUUGAGGACACGUUUGGUGAUGCUGGAGUCAGUAAUGUUACUGUAAUGUUGUAUGAGACACACAAGCACCAGACUUGAUCUCUUGAGUCUAUAUUGUGUCUUAUGUAUGUCUGAAAUGGCUUAUUGUCGCUUAUUAUGU